AUUUUGCAUUUAUUUUCCAAUUUGAAAUUAAAUUAGGAAACUUUAGAGUCAAAUUAGUGUGAAAUUGCGUAAUGUGAAUGUUUUUAAGGUACAAAGAAAUGAGAUGGGACUCGAAGAGAAUGCUCAAUUCCCGCGAAAUGCCGUCGUCGCAUUCCGUCAUGUUUGUCCAUCAUCAAUCAUGUUAGUUAAAGAUCUCCAUUAGUCAGAAUGACUGCAAUGAUUAAUGGUGAACAAACUCAGGGACCACUUCUAUUGAUUUCAAAUCACAAGGGCCAAAGUGAGAAGUUAUGUUAAUCUCAGAGACCAUUUUAACUAGAAAAACCUUCUAUUAAACUUGAAAUGGUGUUACCAAAGCCGACUUAGGCAUAACUAAAUGUUUAUGGUGCAUUUGUUGCACCGAACUAUCUCCGACUGAACUAGUUUCAUGGUCUAAAUUGGACUAAUUUAGAUUAGACUAAGCUAAACUGACUUAGUGAAACGUUUGAUGUAGUAUCGAACUAAGAAACAGGAAUAUAAUAAUAAUAAUAAUUAAUUCUCUUUUUCUUUUCUUUUUUCUUUUUUCUUUAUUCUUUUUCUUUGUUUCUUCUCCUUUUUCUUUUUCCAGAACUCUCUUCUUUUUUUUUGUGUCCCGGUGAAGCUGAAUCCCUUUGUUUUCCCUUUGUUUUUUGUCUUCAGUGCUGUAAUACAAAUAAUAGUGAUCUCUCGAGUCUUUUUUUAAUGGCUGAUUUGUUAUCAUAAACGAGCAUACCCAAAGAUGAACUUUGGCUGCACUAUGUGCACAUAGCUUAAUCUGAAGAUUGCCCAAAAAUUCAAUCUAUUGAAGAUGACAGACACAGUUGUCCCAAGUCCAAUUGUUCAUGAACUUCUAAACCAAAUUAACUAUGAAGAAUGGAGUUUGCGAGUUGAAACCUACCUGUUGGCAAAGGGUCUUUGGGAAGUUGUGGAAGCCACCACUGAGCCUCCUAAACGAGAAGAUGGUGAAGUUGAAUUUCAAGCUUGGAGGAAGAGUAAUGCCGAGGCUUUGCACUCGAUCCAGGUUUCUUGUGGGGCCGAUACUUUUUCUUUUAUUAGGGGCACCCGCAGAGCCAAAAUUGCCUGGGAUAUUUUGGCAGAAAAGUUGAAGCCAGCUGAAGCAUCCCAAGCCACAGGAACCGGUACGUGCACAUUUGCCUUUUCCAUAUAAUUAGGCAUUUGUCUUUGGAAUUAACUUGGAUCCUCACAGGACAAGGAGAAGUUCAUCAUCAAAAUACUUUGUCAUCGAUUUACAGAAUUUUAUACUUGUUCUCAAAAUUGUUAAUGUUAUAAAUCACUUAGUAAAGAUUCAUUUUGUAAAAUUAAUAAAAUAUGAGAUUAUAUAGUCA